rnacentral:rRNA from 1 species
AACGAACGCUGGCGGCGCGCCUAACACAUGCAAGUCGAACGAGAAUCCGGGGCAACCCGGUAGUUAAGUGGCAAACGGGUGAGGAAUACAUGGGUAACCUACCCUUGAGAAGGGAAUAACCCGCCGAAAGGUGAGCUAAUACCCUAUACGCUAUCUUUUUUUCGAAAAGGAUAGGAAAGCCGGGUCGAGGACCUGGUACUCAAGGAGGGGCUCAUGUCCUAUCAGCUUGUUGGUGGGGUAACGGCCUACCAAGGCUACGAUGGGUAGCUGGUCUGAGAGGAUGAUCAGCCACACUGGCACUGAGAUACGGGCCAGACUCCUACGGGAGGCAGCAGUGAGGAAUAUUGCGCAAUGGGCGAAAGCCUGACGCAGCGACGCCGCGUGGGGGAUGAAGGUUUUCGGAUUGUAAACCCUUUCAUGAGGAAAGAUAAAGUGGGUAACCACUUAGACGGUACCUCAAGAAGAAGCCACGGCUAACUUCGUG